UGUUCUAUGGCCGAACUGGUAAAGGCAUUGCCGAUCACAGGCAAGAUUGCGGGUUCGAGUCCCACUGGAACGG
rnacentral:tRNA from 1 species